rnacentral:rRNA from 1 species
UACGUAGGGUCCGAGCGUUGUCCGGAAUUCUUGGGCGUAAAGGGCUCGUAGGCGGUCCGUCACGUCGGGAGUGAAAACUCAGGGCUCAACCCUGAGCGUGCUUCCGAUACGGGCGGACUAGAGGUAUGCAGGGGAGAACGGAAUUCCUGGUGUAGCGGUGGAAUGCGCAGAUAUCAGGAGGAACACCGGUGGCGAAGGCGGUUCUCUGGGCAUUACCUGACGCUGAGGAGCGAAAGCAUGGGGAGCGAACAGG